rnacentral:rRNA from 1 species
UAGGGAAUCUUCCACAAUGGACGAAAGUCUGAUGGAGCAACGCCGCGUGAGUGAAGAAGGGUUUCGGCUCGUAAAACUCUGUUGUUAAAGAAGAACAUAUCUGAGAGUAACUGUUCAGGUAUUGACGGUAUUUAACCAGAAAGCCACGGCUAACUACGUGCCAGCAGCCGCGGUAAUACGUAGGUGGCAAGCGUUGUCCGGAUUUAUUGGGCGUAAAGCGAGCGCAGGCGGUUUUUUAAGUCUGAUGUGAAAGCCUUCGGCUCAACCGAAGAAGUGCAUCGGAAACUGGGAAAGUUGAGUGCAGAAGAGGACAGUGGAACUCCAUGUGUAGCGGUGAAAUGCGUAGAUAUAUGGAAGAACACCAGUGGCGAAGGCGGCUGUCUGGUCUGUAACUGACGCUGAGGCUCGAAAGUAUGGGUAGCAAACAGG